GACGUAGGGCGCGAGCGUUGUCCGGAUUUAUUGGGCGUAAAGAGCUCGUAGGCGGCUUGUCGCGUCGUCCGUGAAAACCUGCGGCUCAACUGCAGGCUGGCGGUCGAUACGGGCAGGCUGGAGUUCGGUAGGGGAGACUGGAAUUCCUGGUGUAGCGGUGAAAUGCGCAGAUAUCAGGAGGAACACCGGUGGCGAAGGCGGGUCUCUGGGACGAUACUGACGCUGAGGAGCGAAAGCGUGGGGAGCGAACAGG
rnacentral:rRNA from 1 species